AAAGCAAAUUGGCACUAUAGAGCCAAAAGAAAUUUGACCAAAAAGAACAAGAAAUUGAAGAUAAUCGACGAAUUUCAUCACAGCCUUCGAACAUAACCUCAACCACAUUAGCAAUUCUCAAUUAAAGCACUUUAGAUUAGCUGCAAAGAGGCAACCCAAUCAUCAACAAUGCCAGUUUUUGAUCCACUGAAUAGCGAGUACACAACUCAAUUGUUCUCGGCGAUUGGAAAAGAGUUGUACUUGAAUUCUGAAUCGGCCGAUGUUCACUUUGUAUUCGAAUCAAAUGAUGACAUCGAACGAGUCCCGGCGCACAAAGUACUCUUGAUGGCUGGCAGCAAUGUCUUUGCCACAAUGUUCAA